rnacentral:rRNA from 1 species
AGCAGCCGCGGUAAUUCCAGCUCCAAUAGCGUAUAUUAAAGUUGUUGCAGUUAAAAGCUCGUAGUUGAAUUUCGGGAUCAAUUAAUCGGUCGUGCCUCUGGUACGCACUGGUUUUAUUGGUUUCUCCCUUCUGACGAACCAGGAUGUCAUUAAUUUGGUGUCUUGGAGAAUCAGGACUGUUACUUUGAAAAAUUAGAGUGUUUAAAGCAGGCUUCUAGGCAUGAAUACACUAGCAUGGAAUAAUGAAAUAGGACGUUUGAUCCUAUUUUGUUGGUUUCUAGGAUCGACGUAAUGAUUAAUAGGGAUAGUUGGGGGCAUUAGUAUUCAAUUGUCAGAGGUGAAAUUCUUGGAUUUAUUGAAGACUAACUAUUGCGAAAGCAUUUGCCAAGGAUGUUUUCAUUAAUCAAGAACGAAAGUUAGGGGAUCGAAGACGAUCAGAUACCGUCGUAGUCUUAACCAUAAACUAUGCCGACUAGGGAUCGGAUGAUGUUAAAUUUUUUAAUGA